rnacentral:rRNA from 1 species
UGCAGUCGAACGAGACCUUCGGGUCUAGUGGCGCACGGGUGCGUAACGCGUGGGAACCUGCCUUUAGGUUCGGAAUAACUCCCCGAAAGGGGUGCUAAUACCGAAUAAUGUCUUCGGACCAAAGAUUUAUCGCCUUUAGAUGGGCCCGCGUUGGAUUAGCUAGUUGGUGGGGUAAAGGCUCACCAAGGCGACGAUCCAUAGCUGGUCUGAGAGGAUGAUCAGCCACACUGGGACUGAGACACGGCCCAGACUCCUACGGGAGGCAGCAGUGGGGAAUAUUGGACAAUGGGCGAAAGCCUGAUCCAGCAAUGCCGCGUGAGUGAUGAAGGCCUUAGGGUUGUAAAGCUCUUUUACCCGGGAUGAUAAUGACAGUACCGGGAGAAUAAGCUCCGGCUAACUCCGUGCCAGCAGCCGCGGUAAUACGGAGGGAGCUAGCGUUGUUCGGAAUUACUGGGCGUAAAGCGCGCGUAGGCGGCUAUUCAAGUCAGGGGUGAAAUCCCGGGGCUCAACCCCGGAACUGCCCUUGAAACUGGAUGGCUAGAAUCCUGGAGAGGCGAGUGGAAUUCCGAGUGUAGAGGUGAAAUUCGUAGAUAUUCGGAAGAACACCAGUGGCGAAGGCGACUCGCUGGACAGGUAUUGACGCUGAGGUGCGAAAAGCGUGGGGAGCAAACAGGAUUAGAUACCCCUGGGUAGUCCCACGCCGUAAACGAUGAUAAACUAGCUGUCCGGGCACAUGGGUGCUUUGGGUGGCGCAGCUAACGCAUUAAGUUAUCCCGCCCUGGGGAGUACGGUCGCAAGAUUAAAACUCAAAGGAAUUGACGGGGGCCUGCACAAGCGGUGGAGCAUGUGGGUUUAAUUCGAAGCAACGCGCAGAACCUUACCAGCCUUUGACAUCCUGGUCGCGGGUAGAGGAGA